rnacentral:rRNA from 1 species
GACGAACGCUGGCGGCGUGCUUAACACAUGCAAGUCGAACGGACAGGCCCUGCUCUUGUGUGGUGCUCGAGUGGCGAACGCGUGAGUAACACGUGAGUAACCUGCCCUUGACUUUGGGGUAACAUCUGGAAACUGGGGCUAAUACCGGAGAGGAUCUCCUGCUGCAUGGUGGUGGAUGGAGAGUUUCGGCGGUUGGGGAUGGUAUCGAGGCUUAUGAGCUUGUUGGUGGGGUAGUUGGUUUCCAAGGCUUUGAAGGGUAGCCGGCCUGAGAGGGUUACCGGGCACAUUGCGCCUGCGGUACGGCGCAGUCUGCUAUGGGCGGCAGCGGUGGAGAACAUGGCAGAGUGGGCGGAAGUCUGAGGCAGAAAUGUCGCGUGCGGAAAGACGGCUUACUGGGUGUGAACCUCUUUCGCCGGUAACGAAGAGUGAGUGACGGUAACGGGUAAGAAAGCACCGGCUAACUACGUG